rnacentral:rRNA from 1 species
UACGGGGGGGAGCAAGCGUUGUUCGGAUUUACUGGGCGAAAGGCGCGUAGGCGGCCAACUAAGUCAGACGUGAAAUCCCUUGGCUCAACCAAGGAACUGCGUCUGAUACUGGAUGGCUUGAAUCCGGGAGAGGGAUGUGAAAUUCCAGGUGUAGCGGUGAAAUGCGUAGAUAUCUGGAGGAACACCGGUGGCGAAGGCGGCAUCCUGGACCGGUAUUGACGCUGAGGCGCGAAAGCCAGGGGAGCAAACGGG